GAAAUAAAAAGAAAAAUACCAAGAGGGAGGUUUGGUCUAUAUGAAGUAUAAACACCUCCAGGCUAGCUCCACUGAAACAACAAGCAGCAAGUGCUGGGGCUAGAUAAGUUAGGAGGAAGCCUUGGCCCCAGCCACAAGAAUUUUUAUCUCCAGCACAGUAUAGAGAGUCAGCUGUCUAAGGAGGGGAAGAUUGAGGGAACCACUAUUAAUAAGAGAAGUCAGACCCAUCUCUGCUGUGGAGGUGCAGCUCUGGGAGAAAAGGAAUCAGCACACAGUGGAGCAAGGAUGCUACUGACUGCAGGCUCUUACAGGAGGGUUUUCUUGGUUUUGAUUCCAAAUCAGAGGGGAGAAUUGAAGGAAGACCUGAGGCCAGAGACACCAUUCCACAUAUCCCAGGAUUAGAGGUAAUUACACUUGCAAAGUGCUAUAAAAUGUUUUAACAGACAAAGGAGGAAGAACCCAACCAUAGAAAGUCACUUUGGAAAUAGAGAAGACUGGGGUUUGUCUUAAGAGAAGGAUACUGAAGCAAAAAGGGGGCGGAUCUUCUAUACCAGAGUAAUGUCAAAUUGUUAUCUGUCCAAAAAGAAUCCAUAGAAGAGCUCAAAAUACUUUAAAAAUCAAAUGAAAGAGAUUGAAGAAAAUUUUUUAAAAUGAGAACAACUCUCCAAAAAAGGAAGUCAUCUAACUGGAAAAGGAGAUUCAGAAUCUUUUAGAAGAAAACAAUGUCUUGAAAAUUAGAACUAGGCAAUAAAAAGCCAGCAAAGUCAUGAAAGGCUAAGAAAUAAUAAAGCAAAAUGCAAAGAAUGAAAAAAUAGAAGAGAAUGUGAGACAUCUCAUAAGGAAAAUAACUGAUCUGGAGAUCAGGUCCAGAAAAAAAUCAUAAGAAUAAUUGGACUACCUGAAAACUAUGAUCAAUAAAAGAAAUAUGCAAUAAUAUAAAAAUAUUUAGAGAAAAUUAUGCUGAAGUGUUAGAACUAGAGAAGAAAGUAGAAAAAGAAAAAAGAAUGCAUCAAUCACCAUCUGAAAGAUAUCCAAGAAAACUUAUAGGAAUAGCAUAGCCAAAUUUCAAAAUCCUCUGAUCAAGGAGAAAAUGUUACAAGCAACAAGAAAAAACCUAUUCAAAUAUGGGGGGAACCAUAAUUAGAAUCACACAAAACCUAGAAAUGGCUACAUUAAAAAACCACAGAUCUUGGACUCCUGUAUAUCAGACAGCAGCAAAAAAACUGGGGUUACAGCUGGAAAUAAUCCCACCCAGCAAAGUUUAUCAUAAUCCUGAGCAGAAAAAAAACCAAGAUAUUCAAUCAAUUUCCAGACUUUCAGGAUUUUGUUGCAAAAUGACUUAAAUCAAAAAUUUGAUAUAAAAGGUCUAAGAGAAAUAUAAGGUCUGUACUCUAUCUGCUGCACCAACUAGGUCUGAGUUUGACUAUCGGGAAUGUACCUUAUCGGGUUGAUUUGUCAUUCAGGAGAACAUGGCCCCAAACCUGAGUGGAUCACUUUCACUAUCAGAACAUAGGCUUGGGAGGUCCUAUGGUCUGGAGGAAGAAGCCCUGGGUGAGUGGCAGGAAGAUAGCCAGGAUGAGUGAUGGAAGGAGAUGCGAGCCACAAAGUGGAAAUAAAGGCAAACGAGUUAUUUUUAAUUUUCCAUCAGGGCCAGGACCACAUCGUUGAGCAUUCCACCAGAGACUUCCUUCCAAGUAGCACUGAGUCUCUGGACCCAGUCAUACUCUGGUUUCAAGUCUCAGCUAAAAUCCCACAGGAAGCCUUCCUCAGGCCUGUUAAUUAUAUUGCCUCGCCCGCUGUUAAUUUCCUAUUUAUCUUGUAUACAGUUACUUUGUAUGUAUGUGUUUGCAUGUUGUCUCUCCCACUAGAUAAUAAACUCUUUUAGAGCG